CACCCGCUGGGCCGGAACGGCCCCGUCGACAAGUCAAGCCCAACAGGCGGCUGACGGCCCAAGUCUGGGACACUACUCGCUAGGGUUAUGUAUCACCGGUUCCCCUCCUGCGGAGGGCGGCGUUGAUGUAACUGGCUAGGCGGCGGCUCUCUCUCUCGAUCCCCCCUUUCUUCCUCCACCGAACCCCCAAACCGGCUGGAAUUCUUGUAUCCUUGAUCCCGUGUGAGAAAUAUUGUAGCGGGAACCUAACAGAUUUCAACAGAGUUCAUUGUGGGAACCUGAACCCUACUACCAUGUCUCCACUUUCAUGCAGUGGGCUUGACUGGAUCAUAAAGUUUUCUCGCCGAAGAUUCCCUACGCCACCAGCUACUACCCUGAUCCUCUCCCACCAUGGCACAACAAGGCACCUCUUCCUCUCCAGUGAAAGUAACUGAAGGCCAUCCCACCUGACAUCCAUGGAGCUAAUUUCCAUUUCGGAAUUAAGUGUGAGUUCUCUACGGGCAACAAAAUCUAUCAUCUAUCUCCUGUGCUAAUUUCCAUUUCAAAACAUGCAUCAAAGAUUUACUUGACUCUUCUGUGGUAUAUAGUUUUGUGUUUAACAACUUACAUAAACAUGUGGAUGUUCUUUGUUUCUUGGUACGAUAUAUUAUAGUUACAGAUUACAUAAACAUGCUUGCUACCUGCGGAGUAGAAAUACUGUGUGGUGUCUAUUAACUGUCUGGUUCUUGAUUUAAAAUCUAACCUACCAUGGUCGGCAUUCGGUAUCUUGGGUGGAAAGCUUCCGAUUGAUGUCUGAUUUUAAAGUGGCAAAAGUAAGAUGAAAAAUUAUGGUUACUAUAAAGUUGGAUUGAAAAGAAAGCAUGGAUCAAGCAUUUUUCGGCUCCACCUUCAUACAUCACCAAUUGCUGCUACAUUUUUUUCAGCCUGACUUUUCUAAUAGUCAAAAUAUCUGAUUGUACUGCGUUACAUUUAAUAGCAUGAAGAGACUGAAACAUGUAUCCAUCUCUGCCUAGCCUUAACUUAACCUACUCAUGGAACUCAGUUGACGAAUCUUGGUAGACCCUCACCCCUCAUGCCUCUCCCUAUUUCUCCUGCUCGCUCCAGCGCUUUCCCCUGCUUUCUUUUAUCCGUUGUUACUAAAACUUUAAAGAACCAUGGGAAACACGCAGGGUGUGGUCGCCGUCCAUUCUGAUUUGUUUCUUGCGCCUAUCUCCUCCCCCUCCCACUCUUUGUUUAUCUGUCCGUCUAUCUUUCACUUCCUUUCCUUGCUGAAUUUCUGUCUGAAUGACCAUGACUCAGAUGAGCAAACAGUAGAUGGAAACCCGUCCAAAUACAAUCUAUUAUUAUAUGCUGCCGCGCUUGAUUUGGAAGAUAAUCGGCUUGCCAGUAUUAAUUUCCUGCUGAUUGAUACACAUAUGAAUACAGAGAAAUUACCAGCCGUACGAGUAUAUUAAGAUGUGGUGAAAAUGUGCAAGUUUGGUUCUACUGUACCUUCUGGUUUAUAUUACCAAUGUGGUUGCUUAAUGUUUAUACUAUAACAUAUCUUACUAGGUACAUGCUAACAACAAUCCUCUUGGUUUAAAUUUGACAUUUACCAAGGCUCCUCUUGGUUCUACUCUAUGAAUACUAGGUACAUGCUAACAGCAAUCCUCUUGGUUUAAAUUUGACAUUUACCAAGGCUCCUCUUGGUUCUACUCUAUGAAUUGUAUUGAUAAUUUUGUAAUUGACGGCUGAUUGGUUUAGUUAUUCAGGUAGACGUCCAGUGGUUAAGACUCUGUGCAGUCAACCAUGGCUUUGCGAGAGGACCAAGACAAGAGGUAAACACAAUGGCAUAGCGUAGUAGUAUGUAGCAGUUCUUUCAUUAUAACAGCUUUUAGUUAUCAUCGGAUUUUAGUAUCAGUAUUUCUCAGAAAACAGUAUGUAUACAUCAUAUCUAAAUUUCAUCUUUCCUUUGUUUGGAUCGGCUAUUGGCGAACGUAAAACUAAACAGAACCAGGUCAUGUGAUCAGAAAUACAAUUGCUCAGGUUUCCUUUGACGACAUAGGUAGUUUGGUAGGUUAGUAAAACUAAGUGAACGAUGUAAUAGUCUAUAAGAUGUAUCAGUUUGUCGUGUGAUCCUUUUGCAUAUGUUUACGGAUGGAUACUCGAUGCGCUCGGUUCAUACCGUUGCUGAUACUUACCUUCUCUUGCUGAUUUCCCCAAAUCAUGCAUAUAGCUAUUUUAGUAUGGGUUAGGCAAUCUCCCUUUGUAAAAAAGUAUAUAUGUAUGUCACCCUUUGUGUGAGUGAAAUAUCAAUCAGCAUUUUACUGGACCAUAUGCUCUUCGUACUAAAUUUAAUGUUUUCUACUGAACCAUAUUUAAAUUUGUAAUGGAUUUGGAUUCUUUGUACCAGACUAAUGCUUCGCUGAGAAACAACAGACGCUGGAUCAUUGACUUAGACAGUCACCAUGCACCAAGGCGGUUCCUACCGGGUUACAAGUGUUGUCUUCCUCACGUGUCUUUGAGAUAUCCUAAUGUUGGAUUAGUGGUCUAAGUGUUCCCUUUUGUAUCUGUUUGUCGCCACUCUACCUCUAUCUCUUUUUGUACCACCUUUAUUGCAGUUACGGAUAUAACAUUUGAUCGCUUAAUGGCUAAUAAAGUUGUGGGACAUAAGGUUGGACUGCUUUGAGUUGUUUUAAUUCUGAUGAAAAUGCCCAUUGGAUU
rnacentral:lncRNA from 1 species